rnacentral:ncRNA from 1 species
UCGUCGGUGUGGGACACGCCCCGGACGAGCGCGUCGUACCCGGCAUGACAAGACGGCGUAGU